AUACGUAGGUGGCGAGCGUUGUCCGGAAUUACUGGGCGUAAAGGGCGUGUAGGCGGGGAUUUAAGUCAGAUGUGAAAGACCCGGGCUUAACUUGGGCAUUGCAUUUGAAACUGGAUUUCUUGAGGACAGGAGAGGAAAGCGGAAUUCCUAGUGUAGCGGUGAAAUGCGUAGAUAUUAGGAGGAACACCAGUGGCGAAGGCGGCUUUCUGGCCUGUAACUGACGCUGAGGCGCGAAAGCGUGGGGAGCGAACGGGAUUAGAUACCCCGGUAGUCCACGCUGUAAACGAUGGGUACUAGGUGUAGGAGGUAUCGACCCCUUCUGUGCCGGAGUUAACACAAUAAGUCAUCCACCUGGGGAGUACGGCCGCAAGGUUGAAACUCAAAUGAAUUGACGGGG
rnacentral:rRNA from 1 species